rnacentral:rRNA from 1 species
AUUGAACGCUGGCGGAAUGCUUUACACAUGCAAGUCGAACGGCAGCACGGGGGCAACCCUGGUGGCGAGUGGCGAACGGGUGAGUAAUACAUCGGAACGUGCCCAGUCGUGGGGGAUAACGUAGCGAAAGCUACGCUAAUACCGCAUACGAUCUCUGGAUGAAAGCGGGGGACCGCAAGGCCUCGCGCGAUUGGAGCGGCCGAUGGCAGAUUAGGUAGUUGGUGGGGUAAAGGCUCACCAAGCCGACGAUCUGUAGCUGGUCUGAGAGGACGACCAGCCACACUGGGACUGAGACACGGCCCAGACUCCUACGGGAGGCAGCAGUGGGGAAUUUUGGACAAUGGGCGAAAGCCUGAUCCAGCCAUUCCGCGUGCAGGAUGAAGGCCCCUCGGGUUGUAAACUGCUUUUGUACGGAACGAAACGGUCCUGGUUAAUACCUGGGGCUAAUGACGGUACCGUAAGAAUAAGCACCGGCUAACUACGUGCCAGCAGCCGCGGUAAU